UACGGAGAGUGCAAGCGUUAUCCGGAUUUACUGGGUUUAAAGGGUGCGUAGGCGGGCAUGUAAGUCAGUGGUGAAAUACCGGAGCUUAACUUCGGAACUGCCAUUGAUACUAUAUGUCUUGAAUAUUGUGGAGGUAAGCGGAAUAUGUCAUGUAGCGGUGAAAUGCAUAGAUAUGACAUAGAACACCGAUUGCGGAGGCAGCUUGCUACACAAAUAUUGACUUUGAGGCACGUAAGCGUGGGGAUCAAACAGG
rnacentral:rRNA from 1 species